UUUUCCUGACAUGCAGUGCACCAGAACCCGAGCCUUGUCUCUUUCACAUAGCUCUAGAAAUUCAACCGCGUCAUCGAAAGGUAAAGUCUUAUCAUAUUGGAGGCAGUGAUAAGUGAAGGAGUUCUUGUAGAGAUUUUGACAAGCAGGCACAGUGUUAAGAACACGGGAGAUUCCUUGAGUCUUCAAAAGUUCAGAGCGUGAAGCGUUAUCAUAACUUCCCAAAUAAAGAAACUCCGGCAAGAUCUCAGAAGGAAACGCACUAACUUGCAACGAAGUUUUCUCCGAUGUAGCUGGAACCCGAUGACCACAAAUCCCACAAACUUCCCCUUCUUCGUAUUUGUGAUAAUGGCCACAAACCCCACAAGGGUUCUCUCUUUCCCUCUUCCUCAUAGUCUAAAACCGCG
rnacentral:misc_RNA from 1 species